CCAGGCUGGUCUCAAACUCCCGAACUCAGGUGAUCUGCCGGCCUUGGCCUCCCAAAGUGCUUCGAUUACAGAUAUGAGUGACCACACCCUGUCACUUCAGCAGAUUUCUAAGCAACAAAUCGAUCCUGAGGUGGUGGGGAGCGCUGAAGAUGCAGCUGGAACAAGACCAGCCACAAAUUGAUCAGUAUUGAAGUGUAAAUUAGUGCAGUCCACUAGGCCGAGGCAAGAUGGAAGACUUUGGACAUCAGGAGGCAGCCAAGGCUUCUGGGACUGCAAAAACAGAAUGCAGGAAAAGAAUUCCUAAAGGAAAGGCUCAACCAGAACAGAUGGGCCAAGAUGAAGUCCAGGACAAUCCAACUGGCUGGAACCAGGAAAGAAGCCACCAGGAUCGAGAGGAGAGUGUGCAGGGCCUGUCAGGAAGAGACAGGGUCGAUGCAGGUGAGUCCCAGGGGCUGCUAAGUUCUCCCCCACCCUGCCACUCACCACGACUCUGGCCUGGCACUUGGCAUUUCUUCUUAAUGUGUUUGGCAUUUCCUGUGUUUUAAAAGGCAUUCUUGGGCUUGACAAGAUGAGAGAGAAAUAAAGGGAUAAAUCUCAGACCUGCUUUCUUUGAGCUUGCAUUGACAUCUAAAUGACAAUGGUAGCGACAGUCUGCGCAACCACAAAUGAAGCUUCUAUCUGCUUCCUUCCAGACACCUUGGCUUUCCCUCACUGCAAGGGAAAGGAAACUGUUUCUUGAGGGCAGUACUAGGGUAACCCUGGCCACUCCACCUUCUCUCUAAGGUGGUCUUUAUCAUCCUCCGUAGGAGGUCGUGUCAUUCCCAUUUUAUAGUUGAAACAGAUUCAGCAAGUACACUCAGAGCAGAUAAGUCCUUGUCCAAGGACUCGUGGUCAGCCACUGUCACUUUUCACUUGUGACUGAU